UACGAAGGGUGCUAGCGUUGCUCGGAAUCACUGGGCGUAAAGCGCACGUAGGCGGAUUGCUAAGUCAGGGGUGAAAUCCUGGAGCUCAACUCCAGAACUGCCUUUGAUACUGGCGAUCUUGAGUCCGGGAGAGGUGAGUGGAACUGCGAGUGUAGAGGUGAAAUUCGUAGAUAUUCGCAAGAACACCAGUGGCGAAGGCGGCUCACUGGCCCGGUACUGACGCUGAGGUGCGAAAGCGUGGGGAGCAAACAGG
rnacentral:rRNA from 1 species